UACGUAGGUGACAAGCGUUGUCCGGAUUUACUGGGCGUAAAGCGCGCGCAGGCGGUCGUUCAAGUCGAGUGUGAAAGCCCCCGGCUCAACUGGGGAGGGUCACUCGAUACUGAUCGACUCGAAGGCAGGAGAGGGAAGUGGAAUUCCCGGUGUAGUGGUGAAAUGCGUAGAUAUCGGGAGGAACACCAGUGGCGAAGGCGACUUCCUGGCCUGUUCUUGACGCUGAGGCAUGAAAGCGUGGGUAGCAAACAGG
rnacentral:rRNA from 1 species